UACGGAGGGAGCUAUCGUUGUUCGGAAUUACUGGGCGUAAAGCGCACGUAGGCGGCCGUUCAAGUCAGAGGUGAAAGCCCGGGGCUCAACCCCGGAAUAGCCUUUGAAACUAGAUGGCUUGAAUCUUGGAGAGGUCAGUGGAAUUCCGAGUGUAGAGGUGAAAUUCGUAGAUAUUCGGAAGAACACCAGUGGCGAAGGCGGCUCACUGGUCCGGUUCUGACGCUGAGGUGCGAAAGCGUGGGGAGAAAACAGG
rnacentral:rRNA from 1 species